rnacentral:rRNA from 1 species
UAAACUAGGAUUAGAUACCCUAUUAUUUUUAUUGUAAAAUUUGAAACUUGAGUAUUAGUAGUUAAGGUCUUGAAACUUAAAGAAUUUGGCGGUAUUAUAGUCUAUUUAGAGGAAUCUGUUAUGUAAUCGAUAGUCCACGUUGAACCUUACUUAUAUUAUUUCUUGUAUACCGCUGUUUGAGAAUAUACUUUUAGGUUAUUUUCUUAAUAUAUUAUUAAUUAAAAUUUCAGGUCAAGGUGCAGUAAUAUAUAAGUUGAAUAAUGGAUUACAAUAAAUUUUAUUUAUAUGGAUUGUUAUUGAAAUAUAAUUUGAAGGUGGAUUUAAUUGUAAUUUUUUAAAGAUUAUUAAAAUGAUUAAUAGCUCUAUAAUAUGUACACAUCGCCCGUCGCUCUCGUUAUUAAGAUGAGAUAAGUCGAAACAUAGUAA